UGUUUUGUAACUGAUAAAUAAGGUUUAAGUUUGGAUACAUUGAAUUCCAUUUUUUUCGACUAAAUAAUUCCAUUAUCUCCUUAAGUUUUUUUUUUUUAAAACCAUUAUCUCCUUAAGUUUUUUUUUGCAAAUAUCAUCUUCUUAUGUUACAGCUAUAAUUCUUUUUCAAAUGCAAACUUUAGGUUAAAAAAAAAUACUUGUCUUGGAAAUUUUAAAACUAAAAGCAUUCGUUGAUCGUUGAGUCGAGUAAUACAAAUUGUUGUAUACUCUUAUACAAACCAACAACAUUGUCCAUAGGCGCCUUGCAAUAUAUAUUACACACGUAAAUUCUAGGAUUUUUAAUUUUUUUUUCUUUUUAAUAGUUUUAUAAUCCAAGAUAUUUGACGGACUAAGAUGCAGUUGACUAGACCAAAAGGGAGAAAAAAAAAGCAGAGAGGCGAUAAAAAGGAGUCGAGGGUUUCUUCCUCUCCGGCGGCCCCCACGGUGCUGUGAGAGGUGCGUUUCGAAACAGAGUUUCUGGGUUUGCUUUGUGUGGUUUCUUUCUCCUGGGUGUGUUUUCAUCGUAGUGAUUCAAAGUGAGGAGGAGUGAGAGGUUUUUGAGCGCCGGUGUCAUCUCUUGAUGUCGUCGGAGUCGUCUAGAGGGUUUUGUUCGGAUCUGGUAUGGCGAGGUCGUGGAUUGGAGUUUCGGUUCUGUGACUUGGUCGGUUUUGGACUGCUUGGAGAGUUUGGGCUUGGAUUGCUGCCUCUGUUCAUGGGGUCAGUUCCGGUGGUGGUUGAUCUCAAAAGGCCAGAGCUUUUUGCGAGUUCUCUUUUAAGUUUGAUAUGGUCGUCAGAAGUUAGAUGGUUUCAGGAGCGAAUGCUCCAUUGGUGGUGUCAUCGGUUUGUUCGUUAUUGUUCAGGAUUGGAGUGGUUUUUAUCCUCUUACCGGCUGUGUGAAUAAGACGUGUUCGGAAAGCUUCUAUAGGCUUUGCCGUAGAGUGAUGGUGCGUAUGAGGCGCGUAGUGAGCCCAUUCAAGGUCUAAUGGCGAGUUUUAGUUGGGAUUGAAUGGUGUAUUCAGCGACGGUUUAGGAUUCUAACCUCUCUCGAUUCUGUUUUAUGUGAUGGUGAUGUUUGUGUGUCUCCAGUCUAUCUCAGUGAUCGUUUCAUUUGGUGCUAUUUGUGGUUGAGUUCUCGUAUGGUAAGCUCGCCUUUGAGUGUGUGGUGGAGCUCUUCUCUCCAGUAGUGAUAUUUGCCUUCCUUGUUUUAGUUUAAGCUAGUUUUCUCGUUGUUGUUUCUCUUUUGGUACCGAGGGGUGUUGUUUACCUCGUCGGCUUCUGAUUCCGGAAAAGCUUUGUUCAUUUACCGGCUUUGUGUAAUACAAGGUGAUUUCAAUAUUAA